UACACAUGCAAGUCGAACGGUAACAGGGUGCUUGCACCGCUGACGAGUGGCGAACGGGUGAGUAAUGCGUCGGAACGUGCCGAGUAGUGGGGGAUAACGCAGCGAAAGUUGUGCUAAUACCGCAUACGUACUGAGGUAGAAAGUGGGGGACCUUCGGGCCUCACGCUAUUCGAGCGGCCGACGUCUGAUUAGCUAGUAGGUGAGGUAAAGGCUCACCUAGGCGACGAUCAGUAGCGGGUCUGAGAGGAUGAUCCGCCACACUGGGACUGAGACACGGCCCAGACUCCUACGGGAGGCAGCAGUGGGGAAUUUUGGACAAUGGGCGAAAGCCUGAUCCAGCCAUGCCGCGUGUCUGAAGAAGGCCUUCGGGUUGUAAAGGACUUUUGUCAGGGAGGAAAUCCCUAGCGCUAAUANCNCUGGGGGAUGACAGUACCUGAAGAAUAAGCACCGGCUAACUACGUGCCAGC
rnacentral:rRNA from 1 species